CCAGUGGGUCACCAGCCCCCUGCAGCAUCUCACCACCUUCUCCGACCUCCAUCCUCUUGUACCCAUCUUGCAGCACACGUCAACGUGCUCCAGCCUCUGAAGGUGGACUGGGAGGCAACUUCACCCCAGUCUGGGAAUUUUGGGAGACAGAAAGGUGAUAGGAAAGGAGGGUCGCAGAUGGUGUGGAGUGGUACCCGGCCGCACACCUGCCCUGCCGCUUGCCUGCGGAGAUGCCGCUCCGGCUCGGGUGGGAUGCUACCAACAGCACCUAUGGAAGGCAGCCCCAGUAAAGCCACCACGUAGCAGCAAAGUCUCCUCCCUGGCUUCUCCGCUGUGGCCCACGGCACGUCAGCCACCAGCAUCGGUGUCGGUGGGGGCUGAUGCGGGAGGGGAGAAGCAAAGCCCGGCAAGGCAGGUCUGGGGGGACGAUGCCACGUCCCGGUGGGACACGGCUCGGUGUUUUGCCGGGAUGCAGAGCUCUUGAGCAAAAAGGGGAGAAGGAGGAGCGCUUGGGGUUGUAGCCCAGGCUGCGUUGGAGGUUUAUAUGAUGAGAGAAGGAGGGAGGAAAGGAUGGACGACUGCUGGGAUGGAGAGCUGGGAGCAGCCAGACCCUCCUGCUUUGGUGGUGGGACAGGGACGACGGGUCUCCUCGGCAAUGCCCGCUUUGGGAUGAGGAUCUGCUGGUGGCCACCAUCAAAUGGCAAAGGAGAGGUGAUGGAAAGGGGGGAAGAGGGGAAGAUGGGGCCAUGCCGGUCCCCGCGGAGCCGCCUGGGGCUGGUGGGUGGUGGCAGCCGUAGCAGAGGUACAGGGACAUCCCGGGAGCAGGCACAACAGCGUUAUCUCAGCCACCCCACGUAACCGCUGCUCCCAUUAUACGCUGCCCUCCAGGCCUCCCCCCGGGCCCUGCCAGCCUUUUGGGGAGCAGAUAAGCUGCGUCCCACCGCUCUAUCAGGCCAGCCCACACCUAGGAUCCAGCAAAACGUGGCUGCUGUCCCCACCCCUGCCCGAGCCCCAGCCAUGGGAUGCUUGUGCCCCCAGCAGAACCCAUCCAAACCACGCCAGGGAUGAAGCAGGGUGCAGCACGCCCAUUAAAAAUGAUUAAAAUAGCAAUUAAGGACUAUUUACACAGCUCCCAAUCCUUAAACUCUCGCUCCCAGGAAGCAAGACCAUGCUACAGGUGAUUUUUCCCAGGGGAUCCGGGCUGGAUGAUGCGUGGAAGUCAUUUUUGGAUUUUUUUUGGUGCUUCUUCAAAAAGUAAUCACGCAUUUUUCUUCUGCGGUUUUUCCUCGGCCAACCCCACGUGGGGGGUC